AGUCAGAAAGAAUUUGGACCUACAAUUUUACCCAGAAUAGAGUCACUGACCACAGGGUAGGAUAUGAAGUCCAAGAUAUUAAGGUUCCUGCACAGCAUCAGAUGUGUCUGACUUCUAAGGAAAAUGAGACCCCAGACACAUUGAUGGGUCUGUGCAGCAAAAACAAGAGUGGCAUUCCUGUCUGGAGAGGGUGGAGAGGAAGAGAGUCAGACACCUAUAGCACCGCGUCAUAGCCCAUGAAGCUUCUCCAGAGCAGGUGGAAGCAGUGAAUUGAACCCAGGUUCAUGCACAGCAUCAGAUGUGUCUGACUUCUAAGGAAAAUGAGACCCCAGACACAUUGAUGGGUGAGUGUCAAGAUAUUCUAAGUUGGGAUGGUUAGAUUUAAAAUAGCAGUUCAAAACUCUCUCAAUAGCAGUUGUAUUAAGCUUAAUUGUCUUUACACAUUUCAUACAUCCUGACCAGCCCUUAUUGUGGCACAAAAGUCAAACCUGACUUCCUAAAAGUUUUCUUUAAUACAUUGAAGAAUAUACCAGUUUGUAAAUCUUGGGAACAAUAUAGUUGUUGGGUCUUUCUAUUCAUUUUGUCAUCACAGUGUAAUUUUUUUUUAGGUAAAAUGCUUCUUUAAAAUAAUGAAAAUAGAAAACAGGCAUUGCACAAUGUAAAGGCAUCAAUACCCCUGUCCCAAACUCACCUGUUCCCAGUGUCUUUUUCAUCCCCUUUCCACAUUUUCUGCUACAUGUUCUCAGGAAAAAAAAAAAAGAAAAAAAAAACAGCCUCAGACCUGCACCUCUAGCCAUGCUUGAUGGUGUUGUUAGCCAGAGAGGUGAAGUCUUCUCUCUAUUUUUUUCACCAAGAAGUGCUGUCUUGAAAAAAUGUUUUGAGAGAGAGGCUGGGUGGUGGCACACCCAUUUGAGAGCACAUGUUACAAUGCUAAAGGACACAGGUUCAAGCCCCUAGUCC